AGUGAACGCUGGCGGUAGGCCUAACACAUGCAAGUCGAACGGCAGCACAGUAAGAGCUUGCUCUUACGGGUGGCGAGUGGCGGACGGGUGAGGAAUACAUCGGAAUCUACUUUUUCGUGGGGGAUAACGUAGGGAAACUUACGCUAAUACCGCAUACGACCUACGGGUGAAAGCAGGGGAUCUUCGGACCUUGCGCGAUUGAAUGAGCCGAUGUCGGAUUAGCUAGUUGGCGGGGUAAAGGCCCACCAAGGCGACGAUCCGUAGCUGGUCUGAGAGGAUGGUCAGCCACACUGGAACUGAGACACGGUCCAGACUCCUACGGGAGGCAGCAGUGGGGAAUAUUGGGCAAUGGGCGCAAGCCUGAUCCAGCCAUACCGCGUGGGUGAAGAAGGCCUUCGGGUUGUAAAGCCCUUUUGUUGGGAAAGAAAAGCAGCAGGUUAAUACCCCGCUGUGCUGACGGUACCCAAAGAAUAAGCACCGGCUAACUUCGUG
rnacentral:rRNA from 1 species